CACUGUUCAUCAGUUAAAUUUUUGGAUUCAAUGUUCCAGAAUUCUGGGCAUAUUCGCAGAUGUCUUCCCCGAUCUAGUUUUGCACCUCCCUCUUCAAAGAUUCUCUACCGCAGCUACUCCCAAUUAUCUGUUCUGAAUCCGCCCCACUUUUUCUCUAAAAAUACUCCGAUUGAGAAAUGGGAAAUCCUCUAGAUCCGAUCCAAAAUGUGGCAAAAGAAUAUACAUCCGGCAAUGCUGGCCCCUUUUAUCUCGGUCUGAAAAUCUCAAAAUCCUAAUCGAAAAUACCCUUAGGGGAAUGCAAGAAUUUCUGCCCAAAUCAAGAAUUUCUCUCUACACGCCUCCGUCCAAACCGGUAGCCACCGUCUGCGGUUCCCGGUGAAGCUAGCGCCUCGCUGCUUAUCCCUCGCCCUCCUUAAUCUCUCUCUGGAAUCAUAUGCUCAAGGCAGAGUGGUAAGCCCUAAUUCCUUACCCACCUUGGACCGCUGCUGUUGCCGUUGGAGUCCGGCGAACAGCCGCCACCUGCGCUGUCCGGUGAACGACAACUACCUGCGCUGCUGUGUACUCAGAUUCUAGCGAUGCAGCUCUCCAUCGUCAUCUCCUCGGGCUCGACUGAACAGGACAGUCGGUUCCCUCCCUCAAGCUAAGUCCUAUUUUGCCUCAUUUGCUUUCCAUACUGGUAGAGUAUCAAUGGGUAUGCAUAUUGACUUCUUUGAGUGAGAAAAUGUCAGAACUUAACACUCUAUCUGUGUGAGCAUGUUAUGGUUAAUUCUAUAUUCCUAGGGGAGCUUUGUUGCCUGUAUUGCGGUUAUGCAGAUUAUGGCUUUGCUAUUGUUGAGAAAUCCUUACUGCACCUUUCAUUAUGCAAAACAUACAUCUUUCUACUUUAUGCAUAUUGAAACUGAAGCAUGUGUGGUUAAUGCUUGAGUGAAUUGAAAUGGAUUUGGGGCCUGUUUUUUCUUAUAACUUUGCUUUGAUUGUGGGAUUGAUUCCGUUACAUUUUUAUUAUGAUUUCACUUUGAUUUCGGGACUGAUCUUUCUUGGAUUUCACUUUGUGAUUUCAUUAGUACUUCGAGUUCGGGAAACCAGGGCUAUGGAAGGCUCCAUUUACUUUUGCAGGGGACGUGGGGCGGUGCAAUGGUUUUCAAUUCUGCUUGCUAGGGACUUUUCAACACAACGAAUGUGUCUAGCUCUGCAUUGACCUCUUGACAGGACAGGAGACCCCCAACGCUGCCAGGGAUUUCUCGGGAUUUCCACUUUGCAUUUAUACAAAUCUUGAGUUGAGGGGGGCGGGAACGUGACAGCUUUGCUACUCUUUAUAUUGGGAUGAUAUAUUGUGAUGGGAUACUUUACCAAUUGAUUUUUCACCUUGUGUUGAGUUUGUGUAUUGUUUAUGAUGCUACAUUUAUGUGUUAGCUUAUGUAGUUGAAAUUGAGGGAUUGGUUUCUUCGGGUUAGAGGCAUGAUUCACCGAAAAUCUGAAGAACAGUCACAUCGUGACCCAGCUUUAUGGAGCAGGCCUCCAUUCAUUAAAGGGAUUAUCUCGAUUAAUUUCAGAGCAAGCUUGAUUCCUUAAUAUUGCUUGUUUAUUUUGUUUACAAUUUCUUAUGAUUUUACUCAACUUUCUGAUGUAAGGGCAAGUGAAACAUCAAGCUAUCCACCGAGGGGGCAAGAUAAUUGAGGGCUUAACGUCAUUGCUGUUUAUUAUCUCAGAGGGCGACGGUAGCAGAUAUAAGCUCGAAAAUCUUUCGGAGAUUGAGGGAUGAAAGUAACAGUUCGUGGCGAAAGUGGACUGGGCAAAGUUCGCCACGCCGCUGCAAGCUAGACUGAACAGGGCAAUUAGCCCUCCUUCACCAAAAGCUAAGACCAAGUGCUUAAUGCUUAUGUGUAAAUGUGGAUAUCUUGCGCUCUAUUUACGAUUCUUGUCGCUAUGGGAUGGGGGUUCUUAUGGCUGUUGGUCCUAAGUCAUCAUGAUUGUCCUGCUUUCUAUCUUUGUCUACUUGAAGUUCUUGGAUAUAACCCGCAGUGGUAAAUGUAUUUUCAUGUUUUUUAGUUGAUGCUAAUCUCUGGAAUUGAUCCUUAGAUACAGAUAAAACAUAAUGGGAUUCAUGGUGAAUGCGUGAGUGUACCAGCUACAUCAUUGCCUGCGCUGAAUUUCCAGCGUUGAUAAACACUAAUACAAGACGAAGCUAAGUUAUCUCCUUUGAUUAUGUUAAUUCUUGAUGAAUUAGUUACUUUCUUCGGCUGUGCUUGUUGAUUGUUGGUUAAGUUGUUGGGGACAGGGUGUAUACUCGGGGUUUGUGAAGUUUAAUUGGGGCUGACAUGCAUUCUUUUCACUGUUUUGGUCGAGUCUUCCUACCGAGAUCCACAAGAGGGCAGUGCUGCGCCGAGGAACGCCAUGGCUCAGCCCAAUCUGAUGGGAGGACCGAUCAUCAUCUUGUCACGGAUGCAGCGCAGGGAAAGAAAGAGCAGUUCAUCGACUGCACUGAUACAGCGCAGCGGCGCCGCUACAGCGCAGUACGCUGAUACAGCGCAGGUAGGGAGAGGUGUAGUUCAUCAGCUCGCUGAAGCAGCGCAGAGAGGGAGAAGGGUAGUUCAUCAGUUCGCUGAGUAUUAAGCUCUCAGUGUUCAGUGCUACAUUCAAUAUUUUAUCAAAUGCAUAUUUCCUGUGGGUGGUGAAAUUCAUAUCAGUCUACUACUCUUUAUUUUUGCUGCGGGAAUUUAUAGUUGUGAUUUCAUGUCCAAAUUUAUCGGGAUUAUUCAUUAAAUAUGACAUUUGAAUUUCAAUAACUGAAUCUGGGAUUGUGCCAAUAUCUUUGGGUACUUAGUAUGUUGAUGAAAUCGUGAAUUUUUAACUUGGUAUUCAAUUGAAUUUGCAGCGCAUUUUCUUGUGAAAAUGGAUCAUGGUUGGGGUAAAUGAAAUGUAAUUGUUGUUAUUGCUGAUAUCUUGUUGUGGUGGAAUUCAACUCUUAAAUCUGGACAGGACCAAACGAAUGAUGAUUUAAAAUUUAUUUCUUAUUCAUAUGAGAAUAUGUUAUAAAGUUGAAAACUAAUUGUGAUUGUUCGUUGAUGAAUGCGAGGAUCAUGCGAAGAAAGAUAUAACAGCAAAGGAAAAGGAGGAAUUAGUGGAAUAGCAAGAUGAAAUAAAAUUACUAAGCUGCGCAGGAAUGAAAGCAAGAAGAGUUACUAAAGUUGCGCUGCAUAAUUUUCUAAGCGGUGCUGUGGGAUAUCUAAGCUGGUCUUCAAUACAGGAACUCUACAUCCCAACACAGAAUGUCUAAGCCGUAAUGUAACAAAGGUAACCCACUAACUAGUGGUGAUCCAGGUACUUCGCAGAACUGAAAUUUCUCACUACAUGAUCUUAAGGUGUCUUAUCGAAGCAUGUAAGUAUGAAUGAAACAUGAUGUUAAGUUACUCCACCAAAGCAUGUAAGUAUGAAACAUGAUCUUAAGUUAUUUCAUCGAAGCAUGAAAACAUGAUUAGGAUUUGGAAAAUGUUAUAUUUUACCACUUGGGAAAAAUCACGAUUUAUAUUAUCUCUUGAAGGGAUUUGUGAAUUUGAUAUUAUGUCUUGGAAGCUGCACACCUUCUGCAUAUGUGCCUAGGUCUGAAAUAUGAAUUGACUAAAUAUACGAAGCUGCACAACUUCUGCAUAUGUGCUAGAGCCUGGAACAUAAUUUAGAUAACAUACUUUGGGACCAUAGAGUCAUACUAGCCCUGUCACUAGCAUCACAAGUAGGAACACCAAUCACAAACAUACACAUAACAUGUUUAUUUAAAUCACGCACAUGUUACCAAGAGGGAGGGAGUAGGGUAUAUAUGUUGCCAUCUGUAUUUUUCUUGAAAAUUUGCAGCUUGAUCAAUAAUGGUUGACAACACUGGAAAACCUGCUUCGGUAGAAAAUGAGCUUUAGUGGCAAUUCAGCCACGCUACGGAGGGGAAAGCGUUAAGUGGAAUUUGGGUCUUCUCAGCGCAGUCAGGACAGUUAUCUCAGCUACCUCUGCGCAGCUAUCUCAGCACAGUCAGCGCAGCUAUCUCAGCACAGUCAGCGCAGCUAUCUCAGCGCAGCUAUCUCAGCACGGUCAGGACAUUUAUCUCAGCUACCUCAGCGCAGUUAUCUCAGCGCAGUCAGGACAUCUAUCUCAGCUAUCUCAGCGCAGCUAUCUCUGUUAUCUCAGUAGCUUUCAGCGCAGAAUGUCCGAGCCGUUGUCAGUUCAGAAUGUCUAUGCUCCGCGCAGGAAUAUCGUAAGCCGCGAAAGUUAGACAGGGUUCUUUGAUUGUCUAUGCUCCGCGCAGGAAUAUCGUAAGCCGCGAAAGUUAGACAGGGGUGUACCAUCUUGAGGGCCGCUUCGGCGGGGGUGUACCAUCUUGAGGGCCGCUUCGGCGGGGGUGUACCAUCUUAAGGGCCGCUUCGGCGGGGGUGUACCAUAUUUGUACCAUCUUGAGGGCCGCUUCGGCGGGGGUGUACCAUCUUGAGGGCCGCUUCGGCGGGGGUGUACCAUCUUAAGGGCCGCUUCGGCGGGGGUGUACCAUAUUUGUACCAUCUUAAGGGCCGCUUCGGCGGGGGUGUAUCAUCUUUGUCAGUGCAGGUAGUGCAGCGCAGUCAGCGCGGGGUUGUCAGCGCAGUCGGUGCAGCGCAGUCAGCGCGAGGUUGUCAACGCAGAUCACUUGAGUCUUCCCAGCACAGGGAAUCGUAUAUGCUUAAUUGACACGGGAGAGCAGCACAGCGCUGACUUCACACCACACACCCCUAGUUGAACAAAGAGAACGCUGUUCAACUAGACCAGGGGGGAGUAGCUGAUGAGGACUGGAAUACUCAUCAGCGAUGUGCUUAAUAAUUCAAGCCUAUUUUACCUUGUUAUGAUUAUUGUUAUUAUUAUUAUAUAAACGAACCAGCGCAGGUUUAACUAAAGACUCGGGAUAAUAAAUGAAUACGAAGAGCCUGCGCAGUCGAGAGGUGCCAACGCAAGUCGAAGAUGCCUAAAGAGCCCGCUUCACCAGAGACGACAUGCCAGAGCAGAGCAGCGCGGCAGAGCUGCACAGCCAGAGCAGAGCAACGCGGACCAGAGCAGCGUAAAGCUGCGCAGCUAGAGCAGAACAACGCAGACCAGAGCCGCGCAGCACAACAGCGUAGAGCAGCGCAGCCAAAGUGCCUGUCCACGCAGCCACGAAUGAUGGUUCAGCUUGGAGAUUAAGAUCAUUGUACUAAGUUUUGGGCCUAAAUCCAAUUGUUAAAGUUCAUGGGCCUGAGGCCUUUAGGGUUCAUUCUCACAACUAUAAAUAGAAGCUUUAGCAUUAGCAUGAGGGGAUCAACUUAUUCUAGCACACUUCACUUGUAAUAUGUAAAAUAGUCUUGAGAUAGUGAAGCCAACGAAGAACCUCCCGUGGACGUAGGUCUUGAUGGCCGAACCACGUAAA